rnacentral:rRNA from 1 species
UGGGGAAUUUUGGACAAUGGGCGAAAGCCUGAUCCAGCAAUGCCGCGUGUGUGAAGAAGGCCUUCGGGUUGUAAAGCACUUUUGUCCGGAAAGAAAUGGCUCUGGUUAAUACCUGGGGUCGAUGACGGUACCGGAAGAAUAAGGACCGGCUAACUACGUGCCAGCAGCCGCGGUAAUACGUAGGGUCCAAGCGUUAAUCGGAAUUACUGGGCGGAAAGCGUGCGCAGGCGGUUGUGCAAGACCGAUGUGAAAUCCCCGAGCUUAACUUGGGAAUUGCAUUGGUGACUGCACGGCUAGAGUGUGUCAGAGGGGGGUAGUAUACCACGUGUAGCAGUGAAAUGCGUAGAGAUGUGGAGGAAUACCGAUGGAGAAGGCAGCCCCCUGGGAUAACACUGACGAUCAUGAACGAAAGCGUGGGGAGCAAACAGG